rnacentral:rRNA from 1 species
CUCAAUGAAAAUCAAUAGCCGCAAUGUUCUUGUGCUAAGGUAGCAUAAUCAUUUGUUUUUUAAUUAAAAACUAGAACGAAAGAUUUAAUAUUUUUAUUACUAUCUUAUAUAUAUAAAUUUAAUUUAUUCUAAAUAUAAAAAAAUAUUUAUUCAUUAAAAAGACGAUAAGACCCUAUUGAACUUCACUAAAGUUUAACUGGGGUAGUUAAUUAAAUAUUAUUUUAAUUUAAAUUUUUAAACAAACCUUCUAUAAUUAAAAUAAUUAAGUUACCAUAGGGAUAACAGCGCAAUAAUUUUUUCAAGAUCUUAUUUAAAAACUUGUUUGCGACCUCGAUGUUGAAUUAUUUAUCUAUUAAAUGCAAUAAUUUAAUAACGAAAGUC